rnacentral:rRNA from 1 species
GACGAACGCUGGCGGCGCGCUUAACACAUGCAAGUCGAACGGAAAGGCCUGCUUUCCCUUGUGGAUUGCGGGUACUCGAGUGGCGAACGGGUGAGUAACACGUGAGUGAUCUGCCCCCAACUUGGGUAUAAGCCCGGGAAACUGGGUCUAAUUCCCGAUAGGACUGCAGGGUGGUGCCUGUGGUGGAAAACGAUUUUCUAGUGGUUGGGGAUGAGCUCGCGGCCUAUCAGCUUGUUGGUGGGGUAAUGGCCUACCAAGGCGGCGACGGGUAGCCGGCCUGAGAGGGUGGACGGACACAUUGGGACUGAGAUACGGCCCAGACUCCUACGGGAGGCAGCAGUGAGGAAGAUUGCACAAUGGGCGGAAGCCUGAUGCAGCGACGCCGCGUGGGGGAUGACGGCCUUCGGGUUGUAAACUCCUUUCGACCGCGAGGAAGCCACCUGGUUGGAAGGGUGGUGACGGUAGUGGUAGAAGAAGCACCGGCUAACUACGUG